ACUAUUUUGACAGAUAAAUGUGAUGGUUUUAGAAAUCAUUUAUAUAUAAUUUAAUUAUAUAAAUAGUA
rnacentral:tRNA from 29 species